GUCUCUCCGAGGAGGGGGUGUCGGUGUGAGGGUCUCUGUGGGGAGAGGGCGUUGGUCUGGUGGGCUCUUGUGAGGAGGGGGCAGCCGGCUGUGAGGGGUUGUGUGAGGAGGAGCCCUUGGUGUGAGGGGCUCUUGGGGAGGGGUCGUUGGUGUGAGGAGAGGGUAACCUAACCAGCUGUGAGGAGGGGUUUUGGCGUGAGGGGCAGUUUUAGGGGGAUAGGUGAGGGGUUGCUGAGGGAUAGGGGAACAGGAGAGAGCUGGCUGAGGGGAGUUGGGGACAGAGGGUUUGUGGAAGCCCCAUGUGGCAACACUGAGGGGUGAGAGGGGCCUGAGGGAGAAGAUGGUGGGGGGCUGCUGCUGAGGCCAUUUGAGCUCAGACAGCAUUUUGAGGGGCAGCAGGCCUGAGGGAGAAUGAAGAAAGGUGUGGAGUGGGCAGAGAGAUGAGGGGUCCAGCAAGGGAGUACAUGGGGCCAGGAUGUGUGUAGGGGAGCGGCCUGGCAUGGGUGGGAGCUUUUUGGGGGUAAUGUGGCAGAGGACAGUGGGUUUGGGGCAGGCUGGCCGUGGUGAGGCCAUGGAGCCAAGUGGAGCUGCCUCUUUGGCCAGGAGCAGCUCAUCUACAGGGGGUGACAAUCCUAGGAGGUGGUAGGUGACUGCUCUAUUGCAGCUGCCCUCACCAAAUGGGUGUGUUUCAGCCUGCCCUUGGCCGAGCUAUAUCUGGGUUGUGGCCAGAAGAGGGAAGAAAAAUCUCAUGGCUUGAGCACAUGGUCUCCUAAACUGUACCCUUGGCUCACAGUGGUGGGUGUUGAACUUGGUAGGUUGUUGAGCCUUUGUGUGCUUUGGUAUCUCCAUCUACGAAGCAGAGAUAACAGUUGGCUUCAUGCAGGGAUUAAUUAUCGCAUCUUGUAGUCACGUAUUUGUUUAUUUGUUUUUACUAUAGAUUACAGCUGGAGGAAUUCUAAACAGUCCACUUCUCCUUGUCAUGGUGUUUGAGCGCAUUGUGCUCCUGUCUGAACAGAGGAAAUCACUGAGGUAAUUCCUGUAUGUGGCAAAGUUGUCUGUGCCAGCCUGGAAGCUUUGUCCAAAAGCAGCAACAGUUACUGUCUCUUGGUUUCUCAGAGCUGCAGCUCCUCACUGGUUCCACAGAGCUGCUUUGUCACAAAGUGUCAGGAACUUUGUAGAAGUCACUGCAUCCUCUGCUGUGCUUGGGAUCAACUCUGGCAUCUGCCUGAAUGUCUGUAUGUCCCUCCUGCACAGACACUUACCUGAGACCAAGGCCUGGAUGAUGUUUGCAGACUAGGCUUACCUGUGCUGGAUGAUCUGAUGGAUUCACAUCAUGAUGUACUUGGGCAUAAGAGAUGGAAUCUCCAUAAAAGUGUUGUCCAUGCUGCAUUCAGCUGUGGGGAUGUUGCCUUAAAUGAUUGAUCUAGUGUUUGAAGUCCUAUUGCUUGAUUUACAUCUUGAUAUUUAGUAUCUUGGCAGACCUUUCUCUCACACAGUAAAGCAUAGCUGGGGUUUUAGUAGAAUUCUGCCCUUAGGUCAAGCUCAAACCUCAUUGCUCCUCCCUGCCUUCAGCUGGAAAUGGACAGCCACCAUUUGUGACUGAAUAUCCUGAGUCACCGAUUCCC